rnacentral:rRNA from 1 species
AUUGAACGCUGGCGGCAGGCUUAACACAUGCAAGUCGAGCGAGCGGCGGACGGGUGAGUAAUGUCUGGGAAACUGCCUGAUGGAGGGGGAUAACUACUGGAAAAGGUAGCUAAUAACGCAUACCCUCAGAUGUGCCCAGAUGGGAUUAGCUAGUAGGUGGGGUAAUGGCUCACAUAGGCGACGAUCCCUAGCUGGCCCGUGAGGAUGACCGGCCCCCUUGUAAUUGGUACACGUUCCAGACUCCGACGGGAGGCAGCAGUGGGGAAUAUUGCACAAUGGGCGCAAGCCUGAUGCAUCCAUGCCGAGUGUAUGAAGAAGGCCUUCGGGUUUUAAAGCACUUUCAGCGAGGAGGCGUUACUCGCAGAAGAAGCACCGGCUAACUCCGUGCCAGCAGCCGCGGUAAUUC